rnacentral:misc_RNA from 1 species
AACGCACAUUGCGCCCUCUGGUAUUCCGGGGGGCAUGCCUGUUCGAGCGUCAUUGCAACCCCUCAAGCACAGCUUGUGUGUUGGGCCAUCAUCCCUCUGUGGAUGGGCCUGAAAUGCAGUGGCAGCACCGAGUCCUGGUGUCUGAGUGUAUGGGAAUCUCUAUCGCUCAAAGACCCAAUCGGCGCUGAUGUCAGAUUUUUUAUCCAGUUUGACCUCGGAUCAGGUAGGAGUACCCGCUGAACUUAA